rnacentral:rRNA from 1 species
GUUUUUUGUAGGUGAACCUGCGGAAGGAUCAUUG